rnacentral:rRNA from 1 species
CGGAGGGUGCAAGCGUUGUUCGGAAUUAUUGGGCGUAAAGCGCACGUAGGCGGCUCUUUAAGUCUCGCUGUGAAAGCCUGCGGCUCAACCGCAGGAGGCCAGGGGAUACUGGAGGGCUGGAGAUAGGUAGAGGCGAGCGGAAUUCCGGGUGUAGCGGUGGAAUGCGUAGAGAUCCGGAAGAACACCAGAGGCGAAGGCGGCUCGCUGGACCUCAUCUGACGCUGAGGUGCGAAAGCGUGGGAGCAAACAGGAUU